CCUACGGGAGGCAGCAGUGGGGAAUUUUGGACAAUGGGGGCAACCCUGAUCCAGCCAUGCCGCGUGAGUGAAGAAGGCCUUCGGGUUGUAAAGCUCUUUCGGCCGGGAAGAAAUCGCGCAGGUUAAUACCCUGUGUGGAUGACGGUACCGGAAUAAGAAGCACCGGCUAACUACGUGCCAGCAGCCGCGGUAAUACGUAGGGUGCGAGCGUUAAUCGGAAUUACUGGGCGUAAAGCGUGCGCAGGCGGUUUUGUAAGACAGGCGUGAAAUCCCCGGGCUCAACCUGGGAACUGCGCUUGUGACUGCAUCACUCGAGUACGGCAGAGGGGGGUGGAAUUCCACGUGUAGCAGUGAAAUGCGUAGAGAUGUGGAGGAACACCGAUGGCGAAGGCAGCCCCCUGGGCCGAUACUGACGCUCAUGCACGAAAGCGUGGGUAGCAAACAGGAUUAGAUACCCUGGUAGUCCACGCCCUAAACGAUGUCAACUAGGUGUUGGGUGGGUAAAACCAUUUAGUACCGUAGCUAACGCGUGAAGUUGACCGCCUGGGGAGUACGGCCGCAAGGUUAAAACUCAAAGGAAUUGACGG
rnacentral:rRNA from 1 species